UGAUUUCCAAUAAUUGAGACAGU
rnacentral:miRNA from 1 species